UUACGGCCGUAUCACGUUGAAACACCGGUUCUCGUACGAUCAGCGAAUUUAAACAACGUCGAGCCUGGUUAGUACCUACAUGGGUGACCGAUUGGACAUACCAGGUGCUGGA